UCCUCGGCCUGGCGCUUGUAGGCCUUGACCUUCAGUUGCAGCUUGUCCACCAGCUCCUUGAUGCGCCGCUCGCUCUUCCUCAUGCCCUUCACCGACUCUGCGUUGCGCUUCUGCUCGGCCUCCAGCUCACCCUCCAGCUCCCGCACCCGCGCUUCCAGCUUCUGCAGCUGCUUCUUGCCUCCCUUGAGGGCGAUCUGCUCGGCCUCGUCCAGCCGGUGCUGCAGGUCCUUAAUGGUCUGCUCCAUGUUCUUCUUCAUGCGCUCCAGCUUCUGCAGCUGCUUCUUGCCGCCCUUGAGGGCGAUCUGCUCGGCUUCGUCCAGCCGGUGCUGCAGCAGCAUUGGAGCGCUCUACGUCCACCAUCAAGUCCUCGAUCUCAUUCUGUAGCCGGUGCUUGGUCUUCUCCAGCGAGG
rnacentral:lncRNA from 1 species